rnacentral:rRNA from 1 species
GAUGAACGCUAGCGGCAGGCUUAAUACAUGCAAGUCGAGGGGCAGCAUGAAUGUAGCAAUACAUUCGAUGGCGACCGGCAAACGGGUGCGGAACACGUACACAACCUUCCUAUAAGUGGGGAAUAGCCCAGAGAAAUUUGGAUUAAUACCCCGUAACAUAAUGAUGUGGCAUCACAUUAUUAUUAUAGCUUCGGCGCUUAUUGAUGGGUGUGCGGCUGAUUAGAUAGUUGGCGGGGUAACGGCCCACCAAGUCUACGAUCAGCAGCUGAUGUGAGAGCAUGAUCAGCCACACGGGCACUGAGACACGGGCCCGACUCCUACGGGAGGCAGCAGUAAGGAAUAUUGGUCAAUGGACGCAAGUCUGAACCAGCCAUGCCGCGUGAAGGAUUAAGGUCCUCUGGAUUGUAAACUUCUUUUAUCUGGGACGAAAAAAGGCUAUUCUUAGUCACUUGACGGUACCAGAUGAAUAAGCACCGGCUAACUCCGUGCCAGCCGCCGCGGUAAAAC